GAUGAACGCUGGCGGCGUGCCUAAUACAUGCAAGUAGAACGCUGAAGGAGGAGCUUGCUCUUCUGGAUGAGUUGCGAACGGGUGAGUAACGCGUAGGUAACCUGCCUGGUAGCGGGGGAUAACUAUUGGAAACGAUAGCUAAUACCGCAUGACAACAGUUAUUGCAUGAUAACUGUUUAAAAGGGGCAACUGCUCCACUACCAGAUGGACCUGCGUUGUAUUAGCUAGUUGGUGAGGUAACGGCUCACCAAGGCGACGAUACAUAGCCGACCUGAGAGGGGGAUCUGCCACACUGGGACUGAGACACGGCCCAGACUCCUACGGGAGGCAGCAGUAGGGAAUCUUCGGCAAUGGACGGAAGUCUGACCGAGCAACGCCGCGUGAGGGAAGAAGGUUUUCGGAUCGGAAAGCUCUGUUGUAAGAGAAGAACGAGUGUGAGAGUGGAAAGUUCACACUGUGACGGUAUCUUACCAGAAAGGGACGGCUAACUACGUG
rnacentral:rRNA from 1 species